rnacentral:rRNA from 1 species
CGGGCGCUAGUGGCGGACGGGUGAGUAACGCGUGGGAACAUGCCCUUUGGUACGGGAUAGCCUCGGGAAACUGGGUGUAAUACCGUAUGUGGUCUUCGGACGAAAGAUUUAUCGCCAAAGGAUUGGCCCGCGUUGGAUUAGGUAGUUGGUGGGGUAAUGGCCUACCAAGCCGACGAUCCAUAGCUGGUUUGAGAGGAUGAUCAGCCACACUGGGACUGAGACACGGCCCAGACUCCUACGGGAGGCAGCAGUGGGGAAUCUUAGACAAUGGGGACAACCCUGAUCUAGCCAUGCCGCGUGAUCGAUGAAGGCCUUAGGGUUGUAAAGAUCUUUCAGUGGGGAAGAUAAUGACGGUACCCACAGAAGAAGCCCCGGCUAACUCCGUGCCAGCAGCCGCGGUAAUACGGAGGGGGCUAGCGUUAUUCGGAAUUACUGGGCGUAAAGCGCACGUAGGCGGAUUGACAAGUCAGAGGUGAAAUCCCGGGGCUCAACCCCGGAACGGCCUUUGAAACUGUUUGUCUUGAGGUCGAGAGAGGUGAGUGGAAUUCCGAGUGUAGAGGUGAAAUUCGUAGAUAUUCGGAGGAACACCAGUGGCGAAGGCGGCUCACUG